UACGAAGGGGGCUAGCGUUGCUCGGAAUUACUGGGCGUAAAGGGCGCGUAGGCGGAUGUUUAAGUCGGGGGUGAAAGCCCGGGGCUCAACCUCGGAAUUGCCUUCGAUACUGGCACGCUAGAGUUCGGGAGAGGAUGGUGGAAUUCCCAGUGUAGAGGUGAAAUUCGUAGAUAUUGGGAAGAACACCGAUGGCGAAGGCAGCCAUCUGGACCGACACUGACGCUGAGGCGCGAAAGCGUGGGGAGCAAACAGG
rnacentral:rRNA from 1 species